AUUGAACGCUGGCGGCAUGCUUUACACAUGCAAGUCGAACGGUAACAGGCCAUCGGGUGCUGUCGAGUGGCGGACGGGCGAGUAAUGCAUCGGAAAGUACCCUGCGGUGGGGGAUAACGCAGCGAAAGGUGUGCUAAUACCGCAUGUGAUCUGAGGAUGAAAGCGGGGGACCGAGUAGCAAUGUUUGGCCUCGCGCCUUUGGUGCGGCCGUUGUCGGUUUGGCUAGUUGUGGGGGUAAAGGCCUACCAGGCCGAGGAUCCGUAGCUGGGCUGAGAGGAGGACCAGCCACACUAGAACUGAAACGCGGCCCAGACUACUACGGGACGCAGCGGUGGAGAAUGUAAUACUAGGGGCGGAAGCCUAAUCCAACAAUGCCGCGUGGGGGGAGAAGACCUGCGGGUUGUGAUGCGCUGUUGUGAGGAACGAAACGAUGUCCACUAAGACCAGGCGUUAAUGACGGUACCUGCAGAGUAAGCACCGGCUAACUACGUG
rnacentral:rRNA from 1 species